rnacentral:tRNA from 1 species
CGGAUUAGGGCCGGGUUGGUUAGGCGCCUCGUUUGGGACGAGGAGAAUCUGUGUUCGAUCCACAGUAAUCCGA